UGGGGAAUUUUGCGCAAUGGGGGAAACCCUGACGCAGCAACGCCGCGUGGAGGAUGAAAUCCCUUGGGAUGUAAACUCCUUUCGAUUGGGAAGAUUAUGACGGUACCAAUAGAAGAAGCCCCGGCUAACUUCGUGCCAGCAGCCGCGGUAAUACGAGGGGGGCAAGCGUUGUUCGGAAUUAUUGGGCGUAAAGGGCGCGUAGGCGGUUUGACAAGUCUGAUGUGAAAUCUCUGGGCUCAACCCAGAGUCUGCAUUAGAAACUGUCGGGCUUGAGUAUGGGAGAGGUGAGUGGAAUUUCCGGUGUAGCGGUGAAAUGCGUAGAUAUCGGAAGGAACACCUGUGGCGAAAGCGGCUCACUGGACCAUAACUGACGCUGAGGCGCGAAAGCUAGGGGAGCAAACA
rnacentral:rRNA from 1 species